rfam:Coniosporium apollinis CBS 100218 chromosome Tnknown supercont1.1, whole genome shotgun sequence.
ACAUACGGCCACAUAUCGAGGAGAACAUCGGAUCCCGUUCGCUCUCCUAUAAUUAAGCCUCGAAUUGGUGGGUCAGUAGUUGGGUGGGUGACCACUAGCGAAUACCUACUGCUGUAUGUU